GAUCAUGGCUCAGGAUAAACGCUAGCGGCAGGCCUAACACAUGCAAGUCGAGGGGCAUCGGAUAGAGUACUUCGGUACUCUUGCCGGCGACCGGCGGACGGGUGCGUAACGCGUACGCAACCUACCUUCAACAGGGGGAUAAUCCGAAGAAAUUUGGUCUAAUACCCCAUAAUAUUCCGACAGGCAUCUGUCGGAGUUGAAAGCUUCGGUGGUUGGAGAUGGGCAUGCGUUGUAUUAGCUAGAUGGUGG
rnacentral:rRNA from 1 species